rnacentral:rRNA from 1 species
CACAUGCAGUCGAACGGACCCUUCGGGGUUAGUGGCGGACGGGUGAGUAACACGUGGGAACGUGCCUUUAGGUUCGGAAUAGCUCCUGGAAACGGGUGGUAAUGCCGAAUGUGCCCUUCGGGGGAAAGAUUUAUCGCCUUUAGAGCGGCCCGCGUCUGAUUAGCUAGUUGGUGAGGUAAUGGCUCACCAAGGCGACGAUCAGUAGCUGGUCUGAGAGGAUGACCAGCCACACUGGGACUGAGACACGGCCCAGACUCCUACGGGAGGCAGCAGUGGGGAAUCUUGCGCAAUGGGCGAAAGCCUGACGCAGCCAUGCCGCGUGAAUGAUGAAGGUCUUAGGAUUGUAAAAUUCUUUCACCGGGGACGAUAAUGACGGUACCCGGAGAAGAAGCCCCGGCUAACUUCGUGCCAGCAGCCGCGGUAAUACGAAGGGGGCUAGCGUUGCUCGGAAUUACUGGGCGUAAAGGGCGCGUAGGCGGAUCGUUAAGUCAGAGGUGAAAUCCCGGAGCUCAACUUCGGAACUGCCUUUGAUACUGGCGAUCUUGAGUGUGAGAGAGGUAUGUGGAACUCCGAGUGUAGAGGUGAAAUUCGUAGAUAUUCGGAAGAACACCAUUGGCGAACGCGACAUACUGGCUCAUUACU